CCUACGGGUGGCAGCAGUGAGGAAUAUUGGUCAAUGGCCGUAAGUCUGAACCAGCCAAGUAGCGUGAGGGAAGACUGCCCUAUGGGUUGUAAACCUCUUUUAUGCGGGGAUAAAGUUUUCCACGUGUGGAUGUUUGCAUGUACCGCAUGAAUAAGGACCGGCUAAUUCCGUGCCAGCAGCCGCGGUAAUACGGAAGGUCCGGGCGUUAUCCGGAAUCAUUGGGCGUAAAGAGUUCGUAGGCGGCAUGUAAAGUCAGGUGUUAAAGGCGACGGCUCAACCUGGGUAUGGCACUUGAUACUUGCAAGCUGGAAUGCGGUAGAGGUAAAGGGAAUUCCUGGUGUAGCGGUGAAAUGCUUAGAUAUCAGGAGGAACAUCGGUGGCGUAAGCGCUUUACUGGGCUGUAAUUGACGCUGAGGAACGAAAGCCAGGGUAGCAAAUGGGAUUAGAUACCCUUGUAGUC
rnacentral:rRNA from 1 species